UGGGGAAUAUUGCACAAUGGGCGCAAGCCUGAUGCAGCAACGCCGCGUGAACGAUGAAGGUCUUCGGAUCGUAAAGUUCUGUUGCAGGGGAAGAUAAUGACGGUACCCUGUGAGGAAGCCCCGGCUACCUACGUGCCAGCAGCCGCGGUAAUACGUAGGGGGCUAGCGUUAUCCGGAUUUACUGGGCGUAAAGGGUGCGUAGGUGGUCUUUCAAGUCGGUGGUUAAAGGCUACGGCUCAACCGUAGUUAGCCUCCGAAACUGGAAGACUUGAGUGCAGGAGAGGAAAGUGGAAUUCCCAGUGUAGCGGUGAAAUGCGUAGAUAUUGGGAGGAACACCAGUAGCGAAGGCGGCUUUCUGGACUGCAACUGACACUGAGGCACGAAAGCGUGGGUAGCAAACAGG
rnacentral:rRNA from 1 species